rnacentral:lncRNA from 1 species
AUGGGUCAGGGACCCCCAAAAAUGGGGCAGGAACCCCAAAAUGGGUCAGGGAGCCCCAAAAUGGGUCAGGGACCCCCUAAAAUGGAACUGGGACCCCCAAAAAUGGGUCAGGGACGCCAAAAAAUGGGUCAGGGAACCCCAAAAUGGGUCAGGGACCCCCAAAAAUGGGGCUGGGACCCCAAAAAUGGGGCAGGGAACCCCAAAAAUGGGUCAGGGAACCCCAAAAAUGGGUCAGGGAGCCCCAAAAUGGGUCAGGGACCCUCAAAAAUGGAACUGGGACCCCAAAAAUGGGUCAGGAACCCCCAAAAAUGGGUCAGGGAGCCCCGAAAUGGGGCAGGGACCCCCAAAAAUGGGUCAGGGACCCCCAAAAAUGGAACUGGGACCCCCAAAAAUGGGUCUGGGACCCCAAAAAUGGAACUGGGACCCCCAAAAUUGAUCAAGGACCCCAAAAAUGGGUCAAGGAGCCCCAAAAAUGGAACUGGGACCCCAAAAAUGGGGGAGGGAGCCCCAAAAUGGGUCAGGGACCCCCAAAAAUGGGGCAGGAACCCCAAAAUGGGUCAGGGACCCCCUAAAAUGGAACUGGGACCCCCAAAAAUGGAACUGGGACCCCCAAAAAUGGGUCAGGGACCCCAAAAAAUGGGUCAGGGAACCCCAAAAUGGGUCAGGGACCCCCAAAAAUGGGGCUGGGACCCCAAAAAUGGGGCAGGGAACCCCAAAAAUGGGUCAGGGAACCCCAAAAAUGGGUCAGGGAGCCCCAAAAUGGGUCAGGGAUCCCCAAAAUGGAACUGGGACACCCAAAAUGGGUCAGGGACCCCAAAAAUGGGUCAGGGACCCCAAAAAUGGGUCUGGGAUGCCCAAAAAUGGGUCAGGGACACCCAAAAAUGGGUCAGGGAACCCCAAAAAUGGGUCAGGGACCCCAAAAAUGGGUCAGGGACCCCCAAAAUGGGGCCGGGACCCCCAAAAUGGAACUGGGACCCCAAAAAUGGGUCAGGGACCCCCAAAAUGGGUCAAGGACCCCAAAAAUGGGUCAAGGACCCCCAAAAUGGGGCAGGGAUCCCCUAA